rnacentral:rRNA from 1 species
AUUGAACGCUGGCGGCAUGCCUUACACAUGCAAGUCGAACGGCAGCGGACCUUCGGGUGCCGGCGAGUGGCGAACGGGUGAGUAAUGCAUCGGAACGUGCCAUUGAGUGGGGGAUAACGUAGCGAAAGUUGCGCUAAUACCGCAUAUUCUGUGAGCAGGAAAGCAGGGGACCGCAAGGCCUUGCGCUCUUUGAGCGGCCGAUGUCAGAUUAGCUAGUUGGUGAGGUAACGGACUUACCAAGGCGACGAUCUGUAGCGGGUCUGAGAGGAUGAUCCGCCACACUGGAACUGAGACACGGUCCAGACUCCUACGGGAGGCAGCAGUGGGGAAUUUUGGACAAUGGGGGCAACCCUGAUCCAGCCAUGCCGCGUGAGUGAAGAAGGCC